GACCCUGUAGGGGCAAUGGAUAGCGCGUUGGACCCCUAAUCCAAAGGUCGUGGUGGGUUCGAAUCCCACCUGGGAUGGCCU